rnacentral:tRNA from 1 species
GCCCUCGUAGCUCAGUUGGUAGAGCAGCUCGCUCUUAACGAGACGGUCGUAGGUUCGAAUCCUACCGGGGGCACAA